rnacentral:rRNA from 1 species
AACGAACGCUGGCGGCGCGCCUAAUACAUGCAAGUCGAGCGAGAAGACGUAGCAAUACGUUUGUAAAGCGGCGAACGGGUGAGGAAUACAUGGGUAACCUACCCUCGAGUGGGGAAUAACUAGCCGAAAGGUUAGCUAAUACCGCGUACGCUUCUUGGACUUCGGUUCAGGGAGGAAAGCGAUGCCGAGGGUAUCGCGCUCUUGGAUGGGCUCAUGUCCUAUCAGCUUGUUGGUGAGGUAACGGCUCACCGAGGCUUCGACGGGUAGCUGGUCUGAGAGGACGAUCAGCCACACUGGCACUGCGACACGGGCCAGACUCCUACGGGAGGCAGCAGUAAGGAAUAUUGCGCAAUGGGCGAAAGCCUGACGCAGCGACGCCGCGUGGGGGAGUGAA